UACGUAGGGGGCAAGCGUUGUCCGGAAUCAUUGGGCGUAAAGAGCGUGUAGGCGGUCUGUCGCGUCGGCUGUGAAAACCUGGGGCUCAACCCCGGGCCUGCAGCCGAUACGGGCAAGCUAGAAUUCGGUAGGGGAGACUGGAAUUCCUGGUGUAGCGGUGAAAUGCGCAGAUAUCAGGAGGAACACCGGUGGCGAAGGCGGGUCUCUGGGCCGAAAUUGACGCUGAGGAGCGAAAGCGUGGGGAGCAAACAGG
rnacentral:rRNA from 1 species